UACAGAGGGUGCGAGCGUUAAUCGGAAUUACUGGGCGUAAAGCGCACGUAGUCGGCUUUGCAAGUCGGUUGUGAAAUCCCCGGGCUCAACCUGGGAACUGCAUCCGAGACUGCAUUGCUAGAGUAUGGGAGAGGAAAGCGGAAUUUCUGGUGUAGCAGUGAAAUGCGUAGAUAUCAGAAGGAACAUCAGUGGCGAAGGCGGCUCGCUGGGCCAGUUCUGACACUCAUCCGCGAAAGCGUGGGGAGCAAACAGG
rnacentral:rRNA from 1 species